rnacentral:rRNA from 1 species
UAGGAAACAGUACACACAUGUUUUUUGCUAGACACACACACCAACAACCAAUUCAACAACCAAAAGAACAAAACUUUCAACAACGGAUCUCUUGGUUCUCGCACCGAUGAAGAACGCAGCGAAAUGCGAUACGUAGUAUGACUUGCAGCCUUCGUGAAUCAUCGAAUCUUUGAACGCACAUUGCACCCCGUGGCAUUCCGCGGGGUAUGCCUGGCUGAGCGUCUUUUCUCCCUCAACUGCGGUUGGCGAUGUGGCGGGCGCGCAGCCCCCACGAAAGAGAAAGACCAGAGAGCAACACGCCUUUCUCUGGGACGCGAACGUAGACCUCAGCUCAGGUAGGAGGACCCGCUGAACUUAAGCAUAUCAAUAAGCGGAGGAA